CGCGGUGGUCAUGGCGCAGGGGCCACACCCGUUCCCAUUCCGAACACGGAAGUUAAGCCCUGCUGCGGCGAUGGUACUGCGGUGUUGUGCCGUGGGAGAGUAGCACGCUGCCGCGA
rnacentral:rRNA from 1 species